rnacentral:rRNA from 1 species
GUAGGUGGCAAGCGUUGUCCGGAAUUAUUGGGCGUAAAGCGCGCGCAGGCGGUUCUUUAAGUCUGAUGUGAAAGCCCACGGCUCAACCGUGGAGGGUCAUUGGAAACUGGAGAACUUGAGUACAGAAGAGGAAAGCGGAAUUCCACGUGUAGCGGUGAAAUGCGUAGAGAUGUGGAGGAACACCAGUGGCGAAGGCGGCUUUCUGGUCUGUAACUGACGCUGAGGCGCGAAAGCGUGGGGAGCAAACAGGGAUUAGAUACCCUGGUAGUCCACGCCGUAAACUAUGAGUGCUAAGUGUUAGGGGGGUUUCCCGCCCCCUUAGUGCUGCAGCUAACGCAUUAAGCACUCCGCCUGGGGAGUACGGCCGCAAGGCUG